rnacentral:misc_RNA from 1 species
UCACGCCCGCUCGCAGGGCGGCUACCCGGUGAG